rnacentral:rRNA from 1 species
GAUGAACGCUGGCGGCGUGCCUAAUACAUGCAAGUCGAGCGAACGGACGAGAAGCUUGCUUCUCUGAUGUUAGCGGCGGACGGGUGAGUAACACGUGGAUAACCUUCCUAUAAGACUUGGAUAACUUCGGGAAACCGGAGCUAAUACCGGAUAAUAUUUUGAACCGCAUGGUUCAAAAGUUAAAGACGGUCUUGCUGUCACUUAUAGAUGGAUCCGCGCUGCAUUAGCUAGUUGGUAAGGUAACGGCUUACCAAGGCAACGAUGCAUAGCCGACCUGAGAGGGUGAUCGGCCACACUGGAACUGAGACACGGUCCAGACUCCUACGGGAGGCAGCAGUAGGGAAUAUUCCGCAAUGGGCGAAAGCCUGACGGAGCAACGCCGCGUGAGUGAUGAAGGUCUUCGGAUCGUAAAACUCUGUUAUUAGGGAAGAACAUAUGUGUAAGUAAAUGUGCACAUCUUGACGGUACCUAAUCAGAAAGCCACGGCUAACUACGUG